rnacentral:rRNA from 1 species
GUGGGGAAUCUUGCGCAAUGGGCGAAAGCCUGACGCAGCCAUGCCGCGUGAAUGAUGAAGGUCUUAGGAUUGUAAAAUUCUUUCACCGGGGACGAUAAUGACGGUACCCGGAGAAGAAGCUCCGGCUAACUUCGUGCCAGCAGCCGCGGUAAUACGAAGGGGGCUAGCGUUGCUCGGAAUUACUGGGCGUAAAGGGCGCGUAGGCGGACAGCUUAGUCAGAGGUGAAAGCCCAGGGCUCAACCUUGGAAUUGCCUUUGAUACUGGCUGUCUUGAGUUUGGGAGAGGUGAGUGGAACUCCGAGUGUAGAGGUGAAAUUCGUAGAUAUUCGGAAGAACACCAGUGGCGAAGGCGGCUCACUGGCUCGAUACUGACGCUGAGGUGCGAAAGCGUGGGGAGCAAACAGGAUUAGAAACCCUUGUAGUCC